UCUAUAAAAUGAUACUUUAUUUUCAUAAAUUACUUAAUUUUAUAUUAUGACCAUUUUAUGUACAAAAUUUAAUGAUUUAAAAACCCAAAAAUACACAUAUAUUAUGAAAAAUGUGUAAAAAUUACAUAUAAAAUUAAAGUUAAAUAUUUACAAAAAUAAAGUUUGCAUAAAAUGAAUGGACUGUAGAUGUGAACAAUAGAAUCACCACCCCAAACCCCCCCUGAAAUAAUAGUAUAAACAGUAUUCUCCUGUCAAAAUGAUAUCUUUUUAGCAGAGAAAUUGGAUCUUGAAAUAGGAGAGUUCACAAAUGAUGAAACACCAAUAUUUAGAAGUUGUAAAAACCUUGUACAGUGAAAACUUACUUUCAAUAAAAAUUUUCCGAAAUAGGCACAAAACAUCAAAGAAUUACAACUCUGAAAACAGUCUGCACAGUUAGCCACUAGUCCAAUGCCCCAGACUAGUAAAUAUUGAUUCAGACUAGUGGGAGGUAACUCUGGAAACUCUAUACCAGGUUUGUAUUUUUGAAGAACAUUUUCCAAAUACAAACGUUCUGGCAAAAAAUCCAGAUACAGUUUAAAUUUUCUGUAAAUCUAUUUAAUUUAUUGAUAUUCAUGAACUUAAUCAGUCAAUAAUAUAUCAAUUAGCAUUUUAUCUCUUCAAAAGGAGACUAGUUUCAUUUAGGUAAGCAAGUAAUUUUAUAAGCAGGAACAUUUAUAGAAAACUACACAAUAAAGAAACAAAAUUACAAGUUUGUUGAAACCACAUAAUAAAUUACAAGUUUGUUGAAACCACAUAAUAAAUUACAAGUGUUGAAACCACUUUGUUGAAACCACAUAAUAAAUUACAAGUUUGUUGAAACCACAUAAUAAAUUACAAGUCUGUUGAAACCACAUAAUAAAUUUGUAAACAGAUAAACAUUAAAAAAUAAAUACAAUGGAAUCUGAAUAUUAUAUACUAUAAGAUGGACAUUUUCUUAAAUACGUCUUUAUGGGGAGGCUUUUCCUCAUGUACCAUUCAAAAGAUAAAUAUGUAUAUGGUUUCUAGAAAAAUGGUUCUAAAUUCCCCCACAACCCUACGAAAACACCCCAAACUUGAAUGGAAUAGCCCUUACCUAUCUUUUAUAAAAAUCCCUAUCAUCUAUCAAUCAGCUUGUAAUAUAGCAACUAUAAAAAAAUAUUUUUAAUCAAUAAAACCCAAUUUCUAUCUGUGUCUCAAUUGAAGUCAUUGUUUUUUAACUUUUAAACCUGACAAACAUUUCAACAAUAACUACAACAGGAAUUGCACUAUGACAUUAAGAAAUUAAGUUUCUAUGAAAGUUUUUUUUUUCAAAAGGAAAGAUAAAAGGACAAAAGUUUAUUACAAAAAAUACAUUUUCUUAGAAAAAAAAUCAAUGUUCAGUCACUUAAUGGUAAUAGUCAUAAAUAAUUCAAAGGUCAUGUUAUUUUUUUUCAACUAAGAAUUUUUUUUGCAAAUCAAAAAUAUGCAAAGUGUGCUAGAAAUGUUAAGCUGAUACAACCUCCCAUCUUUAUUUAACAAGAAAAUCAACAUAAUAUUUAAAAAAUGUUGGCUUAUUGAAGAAAAAACCCCACUUAUAUUGCACUAUCAUUUAGGGAUAUUGCCCCUUGUAGCUUUGUGCAAUAGGAUAUCUAAAUUGGGUUAUUAUCAAAUAUUUUAAGACAAAAGCUCUAAUUUGUUGUUCUUUGUAAUAGAACAGACUCAAUCUUCAGUAACUAAUAAACAUAUAUAUAUAAUAAAAAAGGAGGAAGAUAAUAUACAAAACAACACAUUGUUAAAACUGUUUGUAAGAAUGUGAAAGAAUAAUUUUGUUUACGAAAAAUGUGUAUUGAAAAAAAAUCUGAUCUCCCAUUGCACUUUAUAAGAUAAAAUUUCUACUGCAUAAUAUAAAGAUGUUCGCUACUCUUGCUUUUUACUCUUUGUCUGAUAUUCAGAAUCCUCUGGUUGUAUCCAUGUAAAAACCCUACUCUUCUUUAUAAUUUAUUACAUAUCAAACUUUAAAAAGCCAUUUUCAAAAAUCUUUAAAAAAAUUCUUGUUACUUUUUCAGUUUUUGAAAGAAAAAACAUGCCAAUGAUAUAUAUAUGAGUCUUUUCCCGCAAAUGGUUCUGCUUUUUAAAGUUCCAUUAUUUCUUUAAUAUCAAUUUGUUAAUAAAAUUGAGAAUGGAAAUGGGGAAUGUCAAAGAGACAACAAUUCUAUUUAAAGAGCAAUUUAUGACAGCUUUUUAAAAUUUAUUAUUUUAAAACCGAGGAGCGAACAUCCUUAAGAUGAAACUAAGUGACAUUACUGAUACAUUACAAUACAAGGUUAAUCUCAAGGUCAAACUAUUCUCUAACCACACAUAUCCGUCAUUCAAAAAACAUAUUUCAUAAAAUAACAAUAACAUUACUGAGAUUAAUCUCACAUCUUAAGGUGGUAGACCUUGAUUCAGGGAGAUAACUCUUAAAAUCAUCAGUACGUUUGUGUCAACCAUUUUCAUAAAUAUAUUCAAGCUUCCAGUUACAUAGAUUAUUUCCAUCUGUUUCAUAAAUGCUUAAAAAACAUUGAUGAAACUUGACUUUAACAAACACAUAACUGAUUUAAAGAGUUAUCUCCCUGAACCAAGGUCUACCACCUUAAUAGUUAGGUUAUAUUUCCAUUAUAUUCAAGGUGGGCUUUGAUCAUUGAGAAGCUUUAUGUUUCCUUAACAAUAAAAUGUGAUUAAAACAUUUGACUGAUUUUACAGAGUUAUCUCCCUGUGGUGUCAAGUGGUACCACCUUAAACAUCAUCUCUGUACUAUUUUAGAAUGUCUUAAUUAUUUCAUUCUAGUUGACUCAAUAGCUAAAAGCACUUUUAGGCAGACAUUUUUAGAAAAUAUAAAUUUUUAAGUAAUCUGUUGACACAAAGAUAUAUCUAGCCUUUAAUUUUAGUACAAUGCAAAUAUUCAUUUUUGAAUCAAAACAUGUUAACAAUACAAAACAUUCAAGGUCUGUGAACCAUGACUAAUGUGCAGGAGUAUAUAACCUCCAUGAAAUUUAAAACUAAGUAAACAUUUCAAAUAUAAAUUUCCUUUACAUUUAAGUGCAUAUGUACCAGGUUUAGAGGAGAUAAAAAAAGAAUGUUUAUUACAGAUGUAGUUUACUGAUAUUGAAAAUAUAUGUUUUUAACAUGCAAUGUCAAAAACUUAAUGACAUCAUGAUUUGUGAUUUAUCCUAAUUUUAAAACAGAUAUUACUGUGGAUUCAUUUAUUUUGGUGGAUAUCAAUUUUCAUGGAUUGAGAAAAAAUGCAUUUAGUGGAAAUAAGAUUUCAUGGUUUUUCCCAAGUCUAGAUAGAAUAUUAAUAUAUUUGUACUUCAUUCAAUAUUUAAAUUCAUGAUUCACCUUGACCAAAAUUAAUCCACGAAAAUUGGUAUUCUACAAAUAAUAAAUGAAUCCACAAUAUAUUGACUUUGUGAUGAAGAACAGCAUCCUCAAAUUAAAGACUAAAAAAAGACUUUCAACACCCAAUAUGAAACUGUAGCAUUUUUUGUUUUGCAAAAUUUAAAAGAUUUGGAAUUCAAUUUUAUACUGUAAC
rnacentral:lncRNA from 1 species